rnacentral:rRNA from 1 species
AACGAACGCUGGCGGCAUGCCUAACACAUGCAAGUCGAACGAGACCUUCGGGUCUAGUGGCGCACGGGUUCGUAACGCGUGGGAACCUGCCCUUAGGUUCGGAAUAACUCCCCGAAAGGGGUGCUAAUACCGGAUAAUGUCUUCGGACCAAAGAUUUAUCGCCUUUGGAUGGGCCCGCGUUGGAUUAGCUAGUUGGUAGGGUAAAAGCCUACCAAGGCGACGAUCCAUAGCUGGUCUGAGAGGAUGAUCAGCCACACUGGGACUGAGACACGGCCCAGACUCCUACGGGAGGCAGCAGUGGGGAAUAUUGGAAAAUGGGCGAAAGCCUGAACCAGCAAUGACGCGUGAGUGAUGAAGGCCUUAGGGUUGUAAAGCUCUUUUACCCGGGAUGAUAAUGACAGUACCGGGAGAAUAAGCUCCGGCUAACUCCGUG